GAUGAAGUCGCCAGAUGUAAACUCAGGCGACCAAGUGAUUAGAGAUCGCCGGAGCAAGCACAUCGCCGAAGAUGAAGGUGGUGCAGAUUAUGAAGGCGGCCGGCGAGACCACAGGGAAGGUGUGUUCGAAGGCACCUUAGCUCGCCAAUCCCAGUAGAGAUCGCACUCCAAGACAACUAUGCACUGAGUAGUAUCAUGCAUAAGUAACUUAGCCAAAUGAGAGUCAGAAGCAGCGCCCAAGUCAAGGAGGCUCCAGAUGAUGGCACGUGUACAGUUGGAUGCGAGCCACGUGUCCAGGUCUGUAACUACCAGGAGAGAGAAAGUGGCCAG
rnacentral:lncRNA from 1 species